AGUGAACGCUGGCGGUAGGCCUAACACAUGCAAGUCGAACGGCAGCACAGUAAGAGCUUGCUCUUACGGGUGGCGAGUGGCGGACGGGUGAGGAAUACAUCGGAAUCUACUUUUUCGUGGGGGAUAACGUAGGGAAACUUACGCUAAUACCGCAUACGACCUACGGGUGAAAGCAGGGGAUCUUCGGACCUUGCGCGAUUGAAUGAGCCGAUGUCGGAUUAGCUAGUUGGCGGGGUAAAGGCCCACCAAGGCGACGAUCCGUAGCUGGUCUGAGAGGAUGAUCAGCCACACUGGAACUGAGACACGGUCCAGACUCCUACGGGAGGCAGCAGUGGGGAAUAUUGGACAAAGGGCGCAAGCCUGAUCCAGCCAUACCGCGUGGGUGAAGAAGGCCUUCGGGUUGUAAAGCUCUUUUGUUGGGAAAGAAAAGCAGCAGGUUAAUACCCCGCUGUUCUGACGGUACCCAAAGAAUAAGCACCGGCUAACUUCGUG
rnacentral:rRNA from 1 species